GUUACUAUUACGGAAAGUGUGUGUGGCCAGCUUCACUCUCUGUCAGCUGUUGUUUACUUGAAAAACAAAUCCUCUGAUUGGCCCAUCGGCUGCAUUCCGAUAUACGACAGCGACAUACGACGUAUUGUAGAACAGGCUGUAGAGAGUUGACAGCGGGUCGUAGUCAUGAGCGGACGUGUUACGAUUGUAUUGAGACUGAGGCUGUAAACUCGUAUUUCGCUCACUGCGGAAACCCAUUAGUGACGUCUCGACAGCGAAAUUAUUCAGCUUACGAAGAUCCACUCACUUGAACGAUAAAUGCAGCCAAUCGAGGUUCGCGCCGGUCUCAAGUGUCAGCGCCACAAACGCGAACUAACCUAUUCAAAGAAAAAAAUUUUGCUCGUCGCAGUGAACAUAUGAGUGAGUCGCCUUAUUAAUGCACGAUGGAAUGUAAUAUACUAUUUUAAUAUUGCAAGUCUGAAAAUAUGUGAUCAUCUUGAUUUUUAAAUUGAUUUUAUCAUUAUACAAAACGUAAUCUUAUCGGUAAUGACCCUGAUCGAAUGACUCUUAUCUUAUCAAUAAUAGUAACAUAUAAUAAGAAAUAUAAGUAUAUAAUAAGAAAUAUAAGAAAAGAGAGACACCUAUGUCAUUAUGUUAGUGCAUAUUAAACAUAAUUUUGAUAUUUA